CUGUUGCCAGGCGGUGCCGGUGCCGCCGAGUUUCGACUUCGGCCAGCCUGCUGACGCCAUGGGUGGGCAGUUCGACCGCCGCGGCGGC
rnacentral:tRNA from 1 species